CCCUUAGAUGUUCUGGGCUGCACACGUGCUACACUGGCAGGUUCAGCGAGCUUUAUGCCCUGAUCUGAAAGGAAUGGGAAAUCUUUUCAAAACCUGCCGUGCUUGGGAUAGAUGUUUGCAAUUAUUCAUCUUCAACGAGGAUUGCCUUGUAAGCGCACGUCAUCAGCGUGCAUUGAAUACGACCCUGUAUUCUGUACACACCGCCCGUCGCUCCUACCGAUUGAAGUUUUCGGUGAGUUGACAGGAGGAUUUUUUUGAAACUGGUUCGCCAGUGGAUUUUAGAUCCAAAUGCCAACGAAUCGAUGGCUUUAGAGGAAGGAGAAGUCGUAACA
rnacentral:rRNA from 1 species